UUUUUCUGAAACAAUAGCAUAACAUCACAACAUAGAAAAACACACGAUAAAAUAUCAAUUGGCAGGCUUAACUCAAUCAAAAAACGUACAUUAAUACACUUUAAACGAAAAAAUUUGAUCUGCGAUAUCUGAAUGCAAAUGCACAGUUAAUAAAAUAUUAGGAACAAAUAUUCAAGGCCAAAAAGCAAACAAACAAGUCCAAACAAAGCCAUGUCAAAACACCACUGC
rnacentral:lncRNA from 1 species